AACCGGGGUGAUUGAUAGAAGUCACACCUUCUUCCCCUCCUCUGAGUAUUAUUUUGAAUAUUUAUUGUUAGGUGCAUGCUCCAAAUGUAUAAUUUGAAUUGCAAAUAUGGUUCUACUUUCAUUUAAUAUUUAUCUUAGUUCAGUCGAGGCCUUUGCACGUGGAGCUCAGAACUUUCCUUGGUUACUUGGUUUGCUUCUAGGCUUAAAAUUGCAGUUCUUGGUUUGAAAAAUCGUCGACGAACAAGUCUUUGACGGCCUUAGCGUCUCGAGAACGAUACAAAAAAUUUUGGGUGGUCUUGAGAGUCGGUUUUUUGCAUCGUGUCACGGUCUUCGGACGAAUGUUGCAGCCUGCAACGAUGCACCGAAUGAGUCAAGCCACGAAGAAAAGGAAGACCUGUAUUCGAUUACCUCAUGUAACCAUGUAAGAAGAGAGAAGACAGCCCAUCAUAAACAAAAUCAAGAUUGUGAGGCAGAUACAGUCAGUACAUACAGAUAAUCUUAUUGCAUCGAAACCCUCAAGAACAGAGCAAGGAA